GAUGAACGCUGGCGGCGUGCCUAAUACAUGCCAGUCGAGCGAACAGACGAGGAGCUUGCUCCUCUGACGUUAGCGGCGGACGUGUGAGUAACACGUGUAUAAUCUACCUAUAAUACUGGGAUAACUUCGGGAAACCGGAGCUAAUACCGGAUAAUAUAUUGAACCGCAUGGUUCAAUAGCGAAAGAAGGUUUUGCUGUCUCUUAUAGAUGGAUCCGCGCCGGGUGAGCUAGUUGGUAAGGUAACCGGGUAUCAAGGCAACGAUGCGUAGCCGUCCUGAGAGGGUGAUCGGCCUCAGGGGAAGUGAGCCUCGGGCGAGGAACCUAAGGGAGGGGCCAGUAGGGGAAAUGACGCAAUUGGGGAAAACCUGACGGAACGAGGGCGGGUGAGUGAUGAAGGUCUUCGGAUCGUAAAACUCUGUUAUUAGGGAAGAACAAAUGUGUAUGUAACUAUGCACGUCUUGACGGUACCUAAUCAAAAAGCCACGGCUAACUACGUG
rnacentral:rRNA from 1 species